rnacentral:rRNA from 1 species
UACGAAGGGUGCAAACGUUGCUCGGAAUUAUUGGGCGUAAAGCGCACGUAGGCGGCUUUGCAAGUCGGAUGUGAAAUCCCUCGGCUUAACCAAGGAAGUGCAUCCGAAACUGCAGAGCUUGAGUACUUAAGAGGAUCGCGGAAUUCCCGGUGUAGAGGUGAAAUGCGCAGAUAUCGGGAGGAACACCAAUGGCGAAGGCAGCUCGCUGGGACGUUACUGACGCUGAGACGCGAAAGCGUGGGGAGCAAACGGG